UACGUAGGGUCCGAGCGUUAAUCGGAAUUACUGGGCGUAAAGCGUGCGCAGGCGGUUAUGUAAGACAGGUGUGAAAUCCCAGGGCUUAACCUUGGAACUGCAUUUGUGACUGCAUAGCUAGAGUACGGUAGAGGGGGAUGGAAUUCCGCGUGUAGCAGUGAAAUGCGUAGAUAUGCGGAGGAACACCGAUGGCGAAGGCAAUCCCCUGGACCUGUACUGACGCUCAUGCACGAAAGCGUGGGGAGCAAACAGG
rnacentral:rRNA from 1 species